rnacentral:tRNA from 1 species
GUCAUUCUGGCCGAGUGAUUUAAGGCACUGCGUUCAGGCCGCAGUCCUCUCCGGAGGGCGCAGGUUCGAAUCCUACGGCUAACA